rnacentral:ncRNA from 1 species
UAAUGGCUGAACGCCUCUAAGUCAGAAUCCGUGCCGGAACGCGGCGAUGUUGCCCCGCACGUCGUAGUUGGAUACGAAUAGGCCUCCGGGCCAUGCACCUCAGCAGGCUGGCGACGGCUCCUAGGGAGAAGCCCCUGGGAGCUGGCUGGCGAAUUGCAAUGUCACCUCGCGCGGGGAUGAAUCCUCUGCAGACGACUGAAGUGACCAAGCGGGUCGUGUACGCGGUCAAGUAGCCUUGUUGCUACGAGUCGCUGAGCGUCAGCCCGUCCUUGGCUAGAUUUGU